UAUCUCUGUAGAGUCUGCAUAUCAAUAAGCGGAGGAAAAGAAACUAACAAGGAUUCCCUUAGUAACGGCGAGUGAAGCGGGAAGAGCUCAAAUUUGAAAUCUUCAAGGUUCUACCUUGACGAAUUGUAGUUUAAAGAAGUGUUUUCUGUUAGAUGAGUAGCAAAAGUUCCUUGGAAUGGGACAUCAUAGAGGGUGAGAAUCCCGUAUUUGGUUAUUCAUUCUAGCUUUGUGAUACACUUUCAAAGAGUCGGAUUGUUUGGGAAUGCAGCCCAAAAUGGGUGGUAAAUUUCAUCUAAAGCUAAAUAUUGGCGAGAGACCGAUAGCGAACAAGUACCGUGAGGGAAAGAUGAAAAGAACUUUGGAAAGAGAGUUAAACAGUACGUGAAAUUGUCAAAAGGGAAGCGUUUGACACCAGUGUUGUUUUUCCGAAAAUCAAUUACGAAUGGCUUGAUUUUGUGUUGUAUUGACCUUAUCAGCUUUCUUCACUUUUUUCGAGUCUUUCUUAAUGCACUUUUCGGUUAACAAGUCAACAUCAAUUUCUUUUGUUGUAAAAGAGUAUUCGGAAGGUGGCUUUCUUUUCGGAGAGAGUGUUUAUAGCCCUAUACUUCUACAAUCGGAGAGAUUGAGGUCUGCAGCGUAGAUCCUUCGGGGUUAGAUACACUUGUGCUAAGUUGUAGCUUUUCAUAGACAACUUGUUGACUAUGUUUAGUCAUGCGGCUUACUCGCUUGUGCUAUUUUACCUACGCUUAGGAUGUUGACUGAUAUGUAGUCGUA
rnacentral:rRNA from 1 species